rnacentral:rRNA from 1 species
GACGAACUGUGCAAACGUUAUUCGGAAUUACUGGGCGUAAAGAGCGCGCAGGCGGUCGAUUUAGUCGUGUGUGAAAGCCCCCGGCUCAACUGGGGAGGGUCACGCGAUACUGAUCGACUCGAAGGCAGGAGAGGGUAGUGGAAUUCCCGGUGUAGUGGUGAAAUGCGUAGAUAUCGGGAGGAACACCAGUGGCGAAGGCGACUACCUGGCCUGUUUCUUGACGCUGAGGCGCGAAAGCUAGGGGAGCAAACGGG